rnacentral:pre_miRNA from 1 species
UAUAUACUCCCUCCGUCCGGAAAUACUUGUCAUCAAAAUGGAUAAAAGGCAUGUAUCUAGAUGUAUUUUAGUUUUAGAUACAUCCCUUUUUGUCCAUUUUGAUGACAAGUAUUUUCGGACGGAGGGAGUAUAAU